rnacentral:rRNA from 1 species
GGCUCAGGACGAACGGCUGGCGGCGUGCCUAAUACAUGCAAGUCGAACGGCUUUUCUAUGGAAGCUUGCUUCCACUGAGAAGAUAGUGGCGGACGGGUGAGUAACACGUGGGUAACCUGCCCAUAAGAGGGGGAUAACAUCCGGAAACGGGUGCUAAUACCGCAUAGUUUUCUUGAUCGCAUGAUUGAGAAAGGAAAGACGGCCUUUGUGCUGUCGCUUAUGGAUGGACCCGCGGCGUAUUAGUUAGUUGGUGAGGUAACGGCUCACCAAGACGAUGAUACGUAGCCGACCUGAGAGGGUGAUCGGCCACAUUGGGACUGAGACACGGCCCAAACUCCUACGGGAGGCAGCAGUAGGGAAUCUUCCGCAAUGGACGAAAGUCUGACGGAGCAACGCCGCGUGAGUGAAGAAAAGGUUUUCGGAUCGUAAAACUCUGUUGUCAGAGAAGAACAAGUCGGAGAGUAGCUGCUCCGGCCUUGACGGUAUCUGACCAGAAAGCCACGGCUAACUACGUGCCAGCCGCCGC